rnacentral:sRNA from 1 species
AAUAAAUAUUUAAUUUGUUUUCUUGUUUGUUCCUCAUCAAAUUUGGGAAGAAACAAUUUUCUUCUACGAUUCCUCAAAAAAUAAGGAAUGAUUAGGAAUAAUGUGGGGUCCACAUGUUACAAUUUGGAAAAAAAA